AUACGGAGGGUGCAAGCGUUACUCGGAAUCACUGGGCGUAAAGCGCGCGCAGGCGGCUAUUUAAGUUGGAUGUGAAAGCCUGCGGCUCAACCGUAGAACUGCAUCCAAAACUAUUUAGCUAGAGUGUGGGAGAGGAAGAUGGAAUUAGUUGUGUAGGGGUAAAAUCCGUAGAGAUAACUAGGAAUACCAAAAGCGAAGGCAAUCUUCUGGAACACUACUGACGCUGAGGCGCGAAAGCGUGGGGAGCAAACAGGAUUAGAAACCCCAGUAGUCC
rnacentral:rRNA from 1 species